rnacentral:rRNA from 1 species
GAUGAACGCUGGCGGCGUGCUUAACACAUGCAAGCCGAACGGGAAACCUUUUAUUGAAGCUUCGGCAGAUUUAGCUGGUUUCUAGUGGCGGACGGGUGAGUAACGCGUGGGUAACCUGCCUUAUACAGGGGGAUAACAACCAGAAAUGGUUGCUAAUACCGCAUAAGCGCACAGGACCGCAUGGUCCAGUGGGAGAAACUCCGGUGGUAUAAGAUGGACCCGCGUUGGAUUAGCUAGUUGGCAGGGUAACGGCCUACCAAGGCGACGAUCCAUAGCCGGCCUGAGAGGGUGAACGGCCACAUUGGGACUGAGACACGGCCCAGACUCCUACGGGAGGCAGCAGUGGGGAAUAUUGCACAAUGGGGGAAACCCUGAUGCAGCGACGCCGCGUGAAGGAAGAAGUAUCUCGGUAUGUAAACUUCUAUCAGCAGGGAAGAUAGUGACGGUACCUGACUAAGAAGCCCCGGCUAACUACGUGCCAGCCGCCGCGGUAA